CCUACGGGGGGCAGCAGUGGGGAAUAUUGGGCAAUGGGCGCAAGCCUGACCCAGCAACGCCGCGUGAAGGAAGAAGGCUUUCGGGUUGUAAACUUCUUUUCUCAGGGACGAAGCAGGUGACGGUACCUGAGGAAUAAGCCACGGCUAACUACGCGCCAACAGCCGCGGGAAUACGUAGGGGGCAAGCGUUAUCCGGAUUUACUGGGUGUAAAGGGCGUGUAGGCGGGAAAGCAAGUCAGAUGUGAAAACCAUGGGCUCAACCUGUGGCCUGCAUUUGAAACUGUUUUUCGUGAGUACUGGAGAGGCAGACGGAAUUCCUGGUGGAGCGGUGAAAUGCGUAGAUAUUAGGAGGAACACCAGUGGCGAAGGCGGUCUGCUGGACAGCAACUGACGCUGAGGCGCGAAAGCGUGGGGAGCAAACAGGAUUAGAUACCCGGGUAGGC
rnacentral:rRNA from 1 species